CCAAGGAGUCUAACAUGUGCGCGAGUCAUUGGGUCUUGCUCAGGCCCAAAGGCGCAAUGAAAGUGAAGGCCGGCUCGGCCGGCUGCGUUGGGAUCCCGUCCUUCGAAGGCGGGCGCACCAACGGCCCGUCCCAGUCGCUGCGUCGACGGGGCGGAGUGAGAGCGUACACGUUGGGACCCGAAAGAUGGUGAACUAUGCCUGGGCAGGACGAAGCCAGAGGAAACUCUGGUGGAGGUCCGCAGCGAUUCUGACGUGCAAAUCGAUCGUCAGACCUGGGUAUAGGGGCGAAAGACUAAUCGAACCAUCUAGUAGCUGGUUCCCUCCGAAGUUUCCCUCAGGAUAGCUGGCGCUCGGAGGAAGCAUUCUCAUCCGGUAAAGCGAAUGAUUAGAGGCCUUGGGGCCGAAACGACCUCAACCUAUUCUCAAACUUUAAAUGGGUGAGAAGUCCGGCUUGCUCGACUGAAGCCCGGACGUGAGGAUGCGAG
rnacentral:rRNA from 1 species